rnacentral:rRNA from 1 species
UACGUAGGGGGCAAGCGUUGUCCGGAUUUAUUGGGCGUAAAGAGCGUGUAGGCGGCCAGGUAGGUCAGCUGUGAAAACUCGAGGCUCAACCUCGAGAUGUCGGCUGAAACCAUCUGGCUAGAGUCCGGAAGAGGAGAAUGGAAUUCCCGGUGUAGCGGUGAAAUGCGCAGAUAUCGGGAAGAACACCCGUGGCGAAGGCGGGUCUCUGGGCCGAAAUUGACGCUGAGGAGCGAAAGCGUGGGGAGCAAACAGG